rnacentral:snRNA from 1 species
UUGCUUCAGUAGCACAUACACUAAAACUGGAAUGAUACAGAGAUUAGCAUCAUCCCUGUGAAAAGAUAACAUGUAAAUUUAUGAAGCGUUCCAUAUUUUU